UUUGGCACAAGCAUGAAAAAAAAAACAAAAAUCACAGCUGUUAAAAAUCAAAUGCAAUAAAACAAAUGAGAGCAGGAGAAUGAUUCUCAGCGCAACUGCAGGCAAUGCAUGCAAAUGCACUGAGUGCGCGCCGUUACUUGUGUUGUGCAGUUACAAAGAAGUUUCAUUAAGAAAAAUGUGCGUGCGAGUUGAACAAAAUUGUAAAUUCAUUAAUAACUCAAAGAAAUAAUUAAUUUUGGUGCAAUUAAAAAGUAAAAAUUUGUGCAAAUACGAGUAAUUAGUGUGAAUGUGUGGAAGUAUUUGAAUACUCAAGGUGGAAAGAAUUUAAAGCGAAACAGCGGUUUGUAAAAAUGUGAAAAGCAACGUGUUUCGUAUAAAAUAUUGAAAAAAAUGUAAAUAGAGAAGAAAGUGUAAAGUGUGUAAAAUUGUUUGGAAAAAUAUUAAAUUGUGGAACAGUAUUGUAAGCAAUAUUGAUGAGCCUUUUGUUUGCGUGCGUGUUAAGUAAUGCAUUGUGGUGUAAAAAUAAUAAUAGCGCACGGAAUUCAUACCAGAAAAGUUUGCCGGGAAAAUGCUGUUGACUAUAAGGAACAACAAAUGUAGAGUCUCCAAAUGGCAAAUUUAUUGCUUAUUUACACAACAAACGAGUAAAACGGUUCGUGGAAGAAAAUAUUAUUUCAAUGUGCAUCAAAGGAAUUCUUGGAGCGCCGCAUUCCAUUCUAAACAGAUCACAAAAUAUUUUCUACCACAACAAACAUGUGUCUUCUGCGAAAUAUUCACCACCCUGCACACCUGUGACGCACUCACCGAUCGAUAAAAACUCGCAGUUUAUAUGUAUGAACUCACACAGACAACUAUAUUUCGUCUCGUAUCGGAAAACUCAUCAUUGAAUAAACAGAAAGUAUGGUGAAUCGAACAAAUAACUGGUAUAAAUUUUGAAGCCCUAGAAAAACGAGCAAUUAAGUAUACUAAAGAAAUAUAACUGGAUAACUUUGUUGGCGAGUAACGAGCCGAACAAACAUCUGGUAUAAAUGUAAGAGACUGGUAU